CCUUCGAUAGCUCAGUUGGUAGGGUGGAACACUGUAGAUCCUUAGGUCGCUGGUUCGACUACAACUCGAAGGA